rnacentral:miRNA from 1 species
AGAUUUAGAGAGAGAGAGAGAGAGAGAGAGAGAGAGAAGAUAGCACAUAGACAUACACGUUAGGCCAGCUGUGACAGUUUGUUACUUUUGCUGAUAAUCUCUCAUUUCUCCUUCUCUCUCUCUCUCUCUCUCUCUCUCUCUCUCUCUAUCC